ACUAUUGUACUCGGGAGACUUCACUGAACUCAAAUAUUAGUGUUUCAAAAUGAUAAAUUGUAUUACAACGAUGAUAUUUUUACAAACGAACGGCACUAUUAUGGACUAUAUUAUUGUUGUAAUAUGUUUUACUGUUUUAAAACACUAAUAUUUGUGUUUAGUGAAGUCUCCCGAGAAUAACAGU